UGCCAGCCGCCGCGGUAAUACGGAGGGUGCAAACGUUGUUCGGAAUCAUUGGGCGUAAAGCGCGCGUAGGCGGCCUGCAAGGUCGGGUGUGAAAGCCCGGGGCUCAACCCCGGAACUGCGCUCGAAACCGGCUGGCUCGAGUCCCGGAGGGGGAAGUGGAAUUCCUGGUGUAGGGGUGAAAUCCGUAGAUAUCAGGAGGAACACCGGCGGCGAAGGCGACUUCCUGGCCGAGGACUGACGCUGAGGUGCGAAAGCGUGGGUAGCAAACAGGAUUAGAUA
rnacentral:rRNA from 1 species